rnacentral:rRNA from 1 species
GUGUUGUAGCUAACGCGUUAAGCACUCCGCCUGGGGACUACGGUCGCAAGACUAAAACUCAAAGGAAUUGACGGGGACCCGCACAAGCGGUGGAGCAUGUGGUUUAAUUCGAUGCAACGCGAAGAACCUUACCACUUCUUGACAUGGAGAUUAGAUCCUUCUUAACGGAAGGGCGCAGUUCGGCUGGAUCUCGCACAGGUGCUGCAUGGCUGUCGUCAGCUCGUGUCGUGAGAUGUUGGGUUAAGUCCCGCAACGAGCGUAACCCUCAUCCUUAGUUGCCAGCGGGUUAAGCCGGGCACUUUAAGGAGACUGCCAGUGGUAAACUGGAGGAAGGUGGGGAUGAUGUCAAGUCAGCACGGCCCUUAUGGGGUGGGCUACACACGUGCUACAAUGGUGACUACAAUAGGUUGCAAUGUCGCAAGGCUGAGCUAAUCCGUAAAAGUCAUCUCAGUUCGGAUUGUCCUCUGCAACUCGAGGGCAUGAAGUCGGAAUCGCUAGUAAUCGUGGAUCAGCAUGCCACGGUGAAUACGUUCUCGGGUCUUGUACACACUGCCCGUCACGCCAU